rnacentral:rRNA from 1 species
GGAGUCUAGCAUGUGCGCGAGUCAUUGGGCGUUACUAAACCCAAAGGCGUAGUGAAAGCAAAGGUCUACUGUCCGUAGGCUGAGGUGUGAUCCUGGUACAUUAUUAUGUCUGGGCGCAACACCGGCCCGUCUUUUACUAUUUAUAGUGGGGCGGAGCAAGAGCGCACAUGCUGAAACCCGAAAGAUGGUGAACUAUGCUUGCGCAGGUCGAAGCCAGAGGAAACUCUGGUGGAGGACCGUAGCGAUUCUGACGUGCAAAUCGAUCGUCAGACGUGAGUAUAGGGGCGAAAGACUAAUCGAACCAUCUAGUAGCUGGUUCCCUCCGAAGUUUCCCUCAGGAUAGCUGGCACACAGGGAAAGACAGUUUUAUCCGGUAAACGGAAUGAUUAGAGGUAUUGGGGUCGAAAUGAUCUCAACCUAUUCUCAAACUUUAAAUGGGUGAGACGCUGGACUCUCUUAAUUGGAGUCUGGCAUUGAAUGUGUGUGCCCAGUGGGCCAUUUUUGGUAAGCAGAACUGGCGCUGUGGGAUGAACCAAACGUCUGGUUAAAGUGCCUACCACGCUCAUGAGAUACCACACAAGGUGUUGGUUGAUAUAGACAGCAGGACGGUGUCCAUGGAAGUUGGAAUCCCUAAGGAGUGUGUAACAACUCACCUGCCGAAUCAACCAGCCCUGAAAAUGGAUGGCGCUGGAGCGUUGGACCUAUACCAGACCGUCACAGUAAGCAUAAUGAAUACUGUGGCGAGUAGGAGGGUCCCGUGGUGAGCGCUGAAGCCACGACCGUGAGGUUGGGUGGAGCCGCCACGGGUGCAGAUCUUGGUGGUAGUA